rnacentral:rRNA from 1 species
UACGUAGGGUGCAAGCGUUAAUCGGAAUUACUGGGCGUAAAGCGUGCGCAGGCGGUUUUGUAAGUCAGAUGUGAAAUCCCCGGGCUUAACCUGGGAAUGGCCGUUGAAACUGGCGAACUGGAGUGUGGCAGAGGGGGGUGGAAUUCCGCGUGUAGCAGUGAAAUGCGUAGAGAUGCGGAGGAACACCGAUGGCGAAGGCAGGUCUCUGGGCUGACACUGACGCUCAUGCACGAAAGCGUGGGGAGCAAACAGG